rnacentral:lncRNA from 1 species
UUCUCUAUGCCAUCUCCUCUAUCUUCUUUGGUCUCUAAUCCUCUCCCACAUCCAAAGGUGUUGGGCAUUCCAUUUGGUGGUCUCGAAGUGUCGAGUUUUGUCUGAUCUAUGCAAAGAAACAAAAAGGUUGCAAUCAAUCACUGAUCGGAUCCUUGUCGGAGAUCAGAUCCAAGGCUGACCCAGAAGCUUACAGAUUCAUCUAGGAGU